UACAGAGGUCCCAAGCGUUGUUCGGAUUCACUGGGCGUAAAGGGUGCGUAGGCGGUCGGGUAAGUCUGAUGUGAAAUCUCGGGGCUUAACCCCGAAACUGCAUUGGAUACUAUUCGGCUUGAGGAAUGGAGGGGAGACUGGAAUGCUCGGUGUAGCAGUGAAAUGCGUAGAUAUCGAGCGGAACACCAGUGGCGAAGGCGGCCAUCUGGAUCAACACUGACGCUGAGGCACGAAAGCGUGGGGAGCAAACAGG
rnacentral:rRNA from 1 species